GCAUGAAAGGCAACACGCCACACUCCUUAUUUAGAUCCUGGCUCCAAACGGAAGAGGUGGCGUCACACCUCGCUAUGACUAUCUUCAUAUAGGCCUACAGUCUAUGGUUUACCAGCUGAACUGUCUAUGCCAGCAGGUGGGAUGGAAGGAUGAUGAGAGAGAAAAUAAUGAUGAGAACAAGCAUGAAAAGAUGAUCACGACGGACAUGUGAUGAGGACAAGAAGGACAGGACAUGUGCUCGCUGCUGAAGCUGAGUGUCCAGUUUCAGCCAUCAUCUUUUAUUUAUUGUGAGAGUAUUAAGAGUAUUAUGGGAUAUGACUCUUGUUUAUAAUAUGAAGCAACCAAGAGUUUAAGGACCAAAAUGACAGCAUUUCAAAUUUCGUCUGAGAGUUUUGAGAGUUUUAGAAGCUUUAACUGUGGUUUAUUACCUACAUAUAUGGUAUUUUAUAGUAUUUUUGCUAAUUGUAAUAUGUUAAUGCAUCAGUUGGUAUCAGUUUGAAGCUGUCAGAUCGUUUUGGUUUGUGUGUGUGCUGGGGUAUAUUAAGUAAAACAAGUGUGUUUCCCUCUAAAAAAAACCUGCACUUAAGAAAUGUCACGCCAGCAUGUUGUAUUCUUUUCAAUUUAGUUGGUUCGUCAAAGCUCCAAAUUGGUUGUCGAUGGACUUGUGAGAUCUAGAACACCAAUUUGGAUUAACGAUCAAAGAUUUCCCUGCGUUUCCCUUAUGAUCAUCAACUUUUGUCUCAGACAAAAUGACCACAACCUCUUAACACCUCGUUACGUGGUGGUUGUACGUGUGUUAAGAGGUCGUGGUCAUUUCAUGUAUUUCUGUAAGUUAAGGCUGCAUUUGUCUGUGCUUUCCAAAAC